AAUAAUCAAUAAUAUCCAAAAGAUUUAACGUUACAAAAAUUCCUUUUUCAAUCCCCCCAAUUAACCACUAGCCUCGUCCACACGAAGCAUCAUUCAUUCAUUCCACAUUCCAUAAUUCAUAAUAUCCAAAGAGUCCUGUAACUUACAAAAAUCAAAAUUUCCCUUUAACCACGAGCAAAGCGCCACUUCGAGAUUGAAUCUUCUUCACUUCUCCCUCCCUCCUCCUGCCUUUCGCCUUUCGAUCCUAUGAAAAAAGCGUCGUGUAAUAGGUGGUGCUUAAAAGCUGUGCCGAGUUACAUUAUUAAGGAAACACACUGGCGGGAGAAAAAAGAGCAGAAAAGGGGGAAGGGAGGAGGAGAGGGGAAGGAGAGGAGAGGCGAUGAUCGAUGACUGUGGUGUACGCGCGCUAUUAGCAUGACAAUGCACGAGCUCUCGGUGCCGUGCUUUCGAGAAUGCCUCUCGUGAGUUCUCUCGCCUUUCGUCAUUCAUUGUUCGAACGCCCGCGUGGCUUCUUCUUGGCCGCGGCUCUCUUCGAUCUUUGGAACGGUAAACGCAUGCCACGUUGUUGGAAAACGAAGGAUUAAGAAGCGUUGAAUUGGUAGAAACCAAACCAAAAAAAAAAAAAAAUUCGUCCAAUCUCAACACGUUCACCGAACUCGUCCCACAAAUCUUGGAGCAACAACUUCGAGUCCAGGCCACGAACGAUGCUCUUUUUCGUCGUUUCGUCUCAAUGAAUCACGGGUUUAAAUUAAAAGCCGGCGAAACGUGUGUGACGAAUGACGCGAGACUGCUUAAUUAUGCGGUAAAAAGCGGAUACGCGAGGGUGUCGCGAAAGAAUAGAACGGUUGGCCAACGGUUGGGAAGCGGGGAGGAGGAGGGGGAGGAGGAAAAGACAGAGGCAACGCCACUCGAGAACACUCUCGUCUCGCUGCCGCCGAUGUCUGACAACUCCGGGGCCAUCUAAUCUCCGCUGUUCCCUAUUUUUAACACCCCUGGCGCGUGUCGGCCAUAAGAGGGAACGAGAAAAGCGAAAACGUGGCGAGAAAGGGAGAGGCGUAGAACGUGAAUUAUCGCCGGGGCUGGUGCGCCUCCGCUGACAAUCGGCCGGCCAUCAAUCACCUGGCAUACUUCCGUUUGUAGAACGGCUCCGAACGGGCCGAGAUCUCUUUCCGUCGUCCCUUCGCAACGUUUUAACGCGCCCGAUCCUUUUCGUUAACCCGUAACGAAUGCACGGAAACGGGGAGAGCUUUUGACCGACGUUUGUGGCUUUCUUUUUCCCCCUUUUUUUGCGUUUGUGACACGAUGUCGAUGCUCGGGAAAGAAGUCACGGAUCGUGGAAGAAAUAUCGAGUGCGGUUCGACGCAUCGUGGUGGCGAUAUCGAUGAUGCGUAUGGACGUGUUAAUUGAGGUGUUGGAGUGGAAAAGUGUAUUAAUACUCGUAAAUGAAAAGUAAAUAUACUCGAGUAAGUAUAAUCCGACGCAUCGUCUGCAUUUUGGAAUUAAAUUUUUGGUCGACUUUGUAUCAUUUUUUUGUUUCGACGCAAGGGGAAAAUUCUUCUUUGCAUAUUACUUUAUUUUUAUUUUAGUAAGAAAGAAGAAAGGAAUACAUCUGUUUAAUUAUUUAAGUAAGAUGAUACGAUGAACGAUAAUUUUAACUACGAAUGCAAUUAUGAUCAGUUAACGAUGAAAGUACGUGUGAUUUGCUUUUUCUUUUUUCUCUCUCUUUUUUCACGAGAUAUACAUAUUUUGGCACGAGAGAUCAUAAGUUAAAUUCGCAAAGAUCAAUGGCUAAAAUAAGCAAAUUGCCAAGCAGUGGGCGUUUCGCUUCUACCUGUACGUGUCACGUGUAAAUAUACGUCAAAUGAUUAAGAAAUAUAAGCAUUCGCCUUAUCUACGUAUACUGAGAGCGAGAUUUUGUUAUAAACCUGACUCUAUAAAUUAAUUUAUAGAUUCAAUAUAAACAUCGAAUCGAAUGAACUGGAUUCUUUGUUCUUUACAAUUGUAAAAAAAAAUGUGCAAAUUCUUUUAGCAAAAUUGCCAUUAAUCGUACAAUAACAGAUAUUAAUUAAAAAUAUAUCCUUUAUACGAUAAGUAAUAAUUAUUGAAUAUUAACACUUCGCUUUGAAUUUUUUGUAUAAUUUUCGCACGCAAAGCAAUAAUAAAACGGUAUUUUUUUUUUCGCAAGAUCCUAAAUUAUACUUCAGGAAAGUUAAAGAAGAAAGUUGGUCGACGUAAAUAGACGAGACAACGGAACAGCUGAUUUUUACAAAUCGUAAGAACCUUUCUCUCUCUCUCUCUCUCUCCGUUUUAUCGAUCAUGUCGAUACAGCGUUGGGUACACGUACGAGGAAUUACAAUUUGAUUUUCCUUAUCGAUACGGUGCCCUGUCGUUGAACAGGAAUCUCCAUUUUUACGACCGCGGUCUUUGAUUUGCCGAGACAGGGAAGCGAUAAAGGGAAUGAAAGACGAACUACAAGUGGAUGGAACACAGAGAAAUGUAGCAGAAAAAGAGAUACGGCGACGGAAAGGACGAAAUAGGGAAUAGGAUCGAAGCGCGGAAAGGCAAAAGGGACCCGAGCCAUUCCGCAACGUUUCUCCUAUAAAUUGAAGAACUCUUGGAUCUUUCGGGAUCUACGAGACAAAGUUCCCGCGGAAUUAUUUAAAUUGUCCCGGAUGUCUCCUUUAUAUUGAGAUACGACUAUUGUAUCGCGUUAAGAGCGCAAGUUGGAAAGACUGUCGCUUAAGACUAGUAAUUUUAAAUAAUGAACGUUUCAACAGUUUGAAAUUUCCUUGCUUGCGACUGUAUGUUUUAAAAGGAAGAAGUGUCUCGGUGAAAAAUAUCAUUUUUCCGUUCUUAGAUUUUUUUAUAAGACGGAUAAGCGCGACAUAACGAGAUUUAGAUGCGAUGAAAGAAAUUUUUUAAAAAGGUUCUAUAUUUUUAGAGAUGUAUAAUUCUAAAUCCGAUUCAGCCACGCGUAUCCCAAUUUCUCGACAAUCGGUUACAGCUGUCUGCAACAUUGUACAAGCUUCAUAAAUUCACUUUACUAUGUAAUAUACUAAAAAUAACGGACAGAAAUCACUCGAUACGAAUGAAGUGUAAUAAAAAUUUUAACAAGGCACAAAGUAUACACAAGGUAUGAACUUUGAAUUGUUUCGAACGAAUAAUAAUUCUCGUGCUAUCUAAAUAGAAAACGAUAUAAUAUAUAUAUAUUCCAUCUAAGAAAUUGAAAAAAUCGACCUCAUCAUAUUUCGAACACUUUUCUCGAUCAAUCUCGCGAGAUAUUUCGACUUGGCGUGAUAGGCCUGCAUACUUUAUCUCGAUUCUCAAAAUAUCUGUUGCAUCGUGCGGCAGAAACUCUCCGUUUUAUAAGCCACUUCCUUAUCGUGUACGUAUGAUUCACCGAAACACGUACAGCCACGAUAUCGGCCGAGAUUAUGGGAAUUCGGGGCGUUAAGGGGCGCCGUACGCCGGAGUAAAUAGGUCAGCGCAAGUCGAUAAUUGGCCGUCGUAAAUUGCCAGCUCGCCGGAAGACGAUCAUCGCGGUCCACGGAGCCAUGUCGUUGACGAAAAGUGGUCGGCCUGUUCUGUCACUGCGCCGUCGUAAAUUAAAGCCGGACUCCUUACGACCAACUUCGAUUUAACUUCUGGCUGCACUUAUGUAAUCGACUUCCCCGACGACGACGACACCUUUUAUAUCUCUUAUGCUCUCCGGCUCCGCGCUUUAAAGGUUAAGUCCAAAGGUUAAGUGUUUGUCAUAACGCAGAAUAUAUUUAUUAUAUGUUAUUUUUUCGAAUAUAUAUAUAAAUUGGAAAAA